rnacentral:siRNA from 1 species
ACCACGAGAAUGAGGUUGGUGA